rnacentral:rRNA from 1 species
UAUCUCUGUAGAGUCUGCAUAUCAAUAAGCGGAGGAAAAGAAACUAACAAGGAUUCCCCUAGUAACGGCGAGUGAAGCGGGAAGAGCUCAAAUUUGAAAUCUUCAAGGUUUGACCUUGACGAAUUGUAGUUUAAAGAAGUGUUUUCGGUUAGAGGAGUAGUAAAAGUUCUUUGGAAUAGGACAUCAUAGAGGGUGAGAAUCCCGUAUUUGACUAUUCUUUCUAGCUUUGUGAUACACUUUCAAAGAGUCGGAUUGUUUGGGAAUGCAGUCCAAAAUGGGUGGUAAAUUUCAUCUAAAGCUAAAUAUUAGGCGAGAGACCGAUAGCGAACAAGUACCGUGAGGGAAAGAUGAAAAGAACUUUGAAAAGAGAGUUAAACAGUACGUGAAAUUGUCAAAAGGGAAGCGUUUGACACCAGUGUUGUUUUUCCGAAAAUCAAUUAAAAAUUGAUUCAUGCCAGGUUGUAUUGACCUUAUCAGCUUGCAAUUUGGUUUUGGGUCUCUUUUUGAUGCACUUUUCGGUUAACAGGUCAACAUCAAUUUCCUUUGCUGUAAAAAGGUAAGAGGAAGGUGGCUUCAAUUUCGGUUGAAGUGUUUAUAGCCUUUUAUCUCUGCAGUCGGGGAGAUUGAGGUCUGCAGCGUAGAUCCUUCGGGGCUAGAUACAUUUAUGCUAAGUUAUAGCUUUUCAUAGACAACUUGUUGACUAUGUUUAGUCAUGUAGCUUACUCGUAAGUGCUAUUUUACCUACGCUUAGGAUGUUGAAGACUCUACAGAGAUA